AUUGAACGCUGGCGGUAGGCCUAACACAUGCAAGUCGAACGCGAAAGUCCUUCGGGAUGAGUAGAGUGGCGGACGGGUGAGUAACGCGUAGGAAUCUGUCCUGUAGUGGGGGAUAACGUUUCGGAAGGAACGCUAAUACCGCAUACGCCCUACGGAGGAAAGCGGGGGAUCUUCGGACCUCGUGCUAUAGGAGGAGCCUGCGUAGGAUUAGCUAGUUGGUGAGGUAAAGGCUCACCAAGGCGACGAUCCGUAGCUGGUCUGAGAGAAUGAUCAGCCACACCGGAACUGAGAAACGGUCCGGACGCCUACGGGAGGCAGCAGUGGGGAAUAUUGCGCAAUGGGCGAAAGCCUGACGCAGCCAUACCGCGUGUGUGAAGAAGGCCUUCGGGUUGUAAAGCACUUUCAGUGGGGAGGAAAAGCUGGUGGCUAAUAUCUGUCAUGUUUGACGGUACCUCUAAAGGAAGCACCGGCUAACUCCGUGCCAGCCGCCGCAGUAACAC
rnacentral:rRNA from 1 species